UUUCAUAUCUCUUGCGAAUGUCUCUGGUAUUAAAUAACGAGAUGUAGAUGAAAAGUUUUACUCGAAUACCAACUGUUGAGCAUAAUGUUUCAGUUUGUAAAGUGAAAUGAUUUUUUUCGUCGAUGUUUUUUUCAGUUAAUCUGUUUUCUGGAUGUAUCUCCUGUUUCGUGGAUUUUAAUUUUCGCUCGUGAUAUAAAUGAUUAUAAUAUUUUUCAUGUGUGGUGUACAAUGUUCGCGUUCUACAUUGAAAUGAUUUUUUGUCGGUAAAUCGGAUUUCAAUUUUCACUCGUAAUUUACUAAAAUGUUGACAGUGUAUUUUAUCGCUAUUUUUUAUUUCUCAACUGCUUCAAGUGGGGUGACCCAUUGAUCUUACUAAUUGCGGAUUGCUGUGUGUAUGUAUCAAAGCAUGUGAUACAUUUACAUCCGUAUUCGCGAGUACGAGCGAAGUGGCUGACAACUAGCGGAAUUUCGUGCAAUGUGUCUGAAAAGGGGAUCAUGGGUGUCAUCAGUUGUGUGUCUGAAACAAGCGUCUAUCCGCAGCGAAGGAGCACCUUUUUCGGAACCACUCGGACUAAUCAGUCUAAUACAGAAUCUUUGGGUUCUACUAUUGUACAUUAUUUAUUGCGCCAUUGGAUGUAAUUCAUCACAAGAUAUAAAGCAACUAUUUCAACAAAGUGAAUCAACUGUGCGCGUCAUCACUACUAAUUAUUCAUCAAGUCUUGAUCGUAUUUUUAUAAAUGACAACUCUUACUACGAUUUUGUUUGUAACUCCCAGCUUUUUGUUGAUAACUCGAUGUUACUUAACUACAUUGCUAAGGAAAGAAACGUGGCAAUUGUGCUUCCCCGAAGAUUUGGGAAGUCAUUAAAUUUGUAUAUGGUAAAAUGCUUCUUUGAAAUAGAGGUGCGACAAAUCAAUCACGUUUGGGAACGCGUCCCACGAAAUGAAACAAAAGCUUACCAGAUCUUCGAAACUGGUUCGUUAACAUCCUGUCGCCAUGGAGACGGUGUAGUGAAACUCAAUUCUAAAUUUGGAAUCUCUUCAUAUUUCAAAGAGAAGCAUAUGAACAAAUACCCCGUUAUAUUUAUAACUUUUCAGAAAAUGAAAGCUGAACAUGCUUCACUUUGUGAUGUAUACAUAUUGCUAAUGAAAUUUCCAAUGCCUAUUCUAACAAUUUUUACUUGGGCUAUUGGAAAUAUAAAGACUUUGAUGAUUAUUACUCCGAAUUGGCUAUGGCAUAUCAGUAUACGGAUCCUGAAAAGCUAAGAAACUUAAUUUUUGCGGCUAUGACUUCACUUGUGAGAAACUGUUAUAUGUAUUUUAGUCAACCGGUAAUACUUCUUAUUGACGAAUAUGAUUCAAUUUUGAAGCGUGUUUUUAAAUACCAAUGGCAUGCCUACAGAAGUAAAAAAUGAAAUUUUGGAUUUUUUUUCUACUUUCUAUUCGAACCUAGUGAAAGGCAACCUGGCUAUUCAAAAAGUAAUACUUACAGGCAUAAUCCCUUGGAAAAAUGCUGACAUUACAUCUUCAUUAUUAAGCAUUAACACGUACACAAUUAUGGACAAUUUCCCAAUGAAUGCAUACGGAUUUAGUGAGAAAGAUCUUCAUGCUAUGUACGAGUAUGUUAAGGCAAUGCCAGGAGGCUUACCCGAUACUGAACAGGAUUUGAUCAACUUUUACGAUGGUUAUUUGUUUGGCGAUGAUAUCAAACGUUACAAUCCUAUUUCGGUGGUUCACUACUUCAAUGCAAUCGGAAACAACAGACUACUUUGUUACUGGGGAGAAACAGGAGAGGCAAAAGAUGUCCUGCGCCAGUUAUUAAAAUUCCGCGACUUCAACAUGGGGUUUAUGAGUCUUCUCACAGCUUCAAAUGGGACACUAUUGAUUGAAAAUACUCCUGAUAAUAAUUUUCUAACUUUAUCUCGACAAUCGAUGGAAAUACUAUCACAUUGUAUUGAUUGUGCUGUUCAAUUACCACCACAAGAAUGGUAUUGGACUGCCAAUUCGAACAGUUACCUCGGAUUUUCGCUUUUAUUCGCCACCGGAUACGUGACCAAACAUAGAAGUAGUAACACAACACACCUAAUUUUAACAAUACCCAAUGAAGAUGUUAGACGCGUAUUGUGGAAUACUUUUCGUGAUAUUUUAGUUGAUGAACGGGCAGGCUCACCAAAGAUAAGAUCACAAUUUCGUCGAGCUAUGGAAUCAUUUACUCCUUAUUUAAAAGAAAUUACAAAAACUGAUCAGACUGAUUGCAAAAAUCUGAUUGAUCAUUUCCACAAUGUAUUAAUUGAGCUCCCUCUUUUUAGUAAAACACCUCAAAAAUACAUGUAUUAUUAUAGUAGCGAAGCACUUAUCGAAUCGAUUUUAAUGGCGGCAUUUCAUUUUUACAUUCCGAUAUCUCUGGAAGAACAACACGAUUUCAAGAAAACCGUAACUAGGGAUUCGAAAACUGUUGGAAGACCUGAUGUAGUAAUAUUCUCACCAGAUCACACUUUCCUGACAGUGUUUGAACUUGGACUUGAUAUAAAUUUCAAUGCAGCAUAUAAACAAUGUAUAAAAUAUCUUCACGUGUAUUUACUAAAUGAUGACUAUAAGAACAUUGAAAAAAUGAAAAUAAUUCCUUUUGUGGUAACGAGUGAUACCAAAGCUGUACGUGCCAAUGCCACAAUUUGCACAAGAACGCAUUACUUCGAAAUAAAACACAUGAAUGACCACAUCGAGAGAACAGUGAAAAUUAUCCGCGAUGAUUUACCUUCUGUAAAUACCACUGAAAACCAAGCAUGUCGUAAGGCAUGCAAUGAUAUGUUAGGGUGGACAGAAUACAAUUAUCUUGCGAAAAAUCACAAAGAAGAAUUCAAUGUGUAUGCAAAUAAGGUAAUCAAUGAAUGCCCUGAGAAGUGGAAGGAGACCUUUAACACAAUCAAUAAUUCAAUAUAUGCGGGUUGAAUCAGGCGACUCGGUAAUGAACACACUGUAACUAUGCAAUAAAUGCCGUACCUAAAUAUUAAUAAUUAUAGUCUGUCUCAUUUAACUUGACCAUUACCAAUACUUACACACUACUCUAUCGCAUUGUGUAAAUACAACGCACAGUUGCCACAAAUAAUUUCAAAAGAAAACAAAUAGUAAAGUCAACCCCACCUUACGCGGCAAAUACGGCAAAGUAAAGCAAAUGAACAUGCUGAUUUUUUUUUUUAAUGAAAAUGAAUUGAAACUUUGAAACAUUACUUAUUUGAAGAUAAUUUGAAGUAAUAGGCACGAUCUUUAAUAAUAAUAAUGGAAAAUAACAUGAAAAAUGUAAUUUUAAUUGUGAAAAUUACAGUAUUUUCAUUUUUGGCAGCCAGUAAAUAUUAUUUUUCAUGGGCAGUGCUUGACUUUGUUGUAUUAUGUAACGAAAUUAUGCAGUUGUAAACAUCAAAACAUUGCACAUUUUGACAACGUAGGAAAUUUUUGAGAGGUCAAGUUAAAUGAGACAGACUAUAGUAACUAUAUUUUGUAUGUACAAUGCGUUUCAUAUUCCUAAUCAUACGUUACAGUUCAGUGCCUAUUCUAACAUGUAGUUCCAACAAUAUUGUGUAGCUCCAAAAAAUUGAUGUGCAGUUGGAAAAAAAAUUGUGCAGUUGAAAAAAAACGAAUUUGGGACGGAAGGAGACCUUUAACACAAUCAAUAAUUCAAUAUAUGCGGGUUGAAUCAGGCGACUCGCUCCAAAAAAUUGAUGUGCAGUUGGAAAAAAAAUUGUGCAGUUGAAAAAAAACGAAUUUGGGACUCAUGUAACUUCAUAAAAACUGCACAAUGAUAUCAAACAAAUAAUCAGGUAAAAGGUAAAUACAUAAAUGUAGUAGAAAAAAUUACUAAGUAGCAGUGCCGCCCAGAGGAUGGAAAUGUGGUAUUGCAGAAUCUUUGAGGGUUCCAAAAAUUUUUCAGGGGGACCCCCCUUUUUUUCAGAAAAAAACCAAGUUAUUGCCAUGAGUUAUGUGAAAUUUUUCUAUGGGCCAGUUCUUUUCACUUCUAAUGAUAAAGAAACAAAUCCAAAGACAGUUUUGUAACUCUCUUCCUACUGUUAAUGAGCUAUUUCUAUGGAGAAAAAAAACUUUUGAGGCUUUUUUGAAGAAGUCUUGGGGAAAGGUAUGUCUAGACCUAUUUCAAGUUUUACAAUAAUGUUGAUCCAUCAUUUUUUUUAAAUUUGAAGAGCUGAAGAUCUAAAAACCAGCUUUUUUUGAUCUACAUAAUUAAAGGAGUUUAUCCAAAUUUGAGCUGAAUUUUAGACAGUCACACACAGUACGUUUUUUUAACCAACCUUUUUUUAAAUGAUUGAUUAGUGGAGAAUACUGGUUGAAAAAAAUGUCCUUGAUGUGCUUGCCUGAAAAUCAAAUUAAAUGUGGACAAACUUGUUGAAUAGACCCGAAAAUGGACCACAAUUUUUAGCUUCCCAAAUUGAUUUCCACAUAUUUCGUAAGAGAAAUUUUAAAAUUAUAUUUCUGGGGAAACAAAAAUUGCGCUGGAAGUUCCAGAAUGGCUAAAUAGCUAGAAAUUACAAAAGUUAGUUCAUGGGAGAUAAUUUUAGUUACAGGGAUCCAGGGGGAGGGGGUAACACUGAAAUAUUUUCAAUUUCUUUUGCCAGAUUUUCUCAACUUUUUACCCUAGGUACCCCCCCUUCCACGGAUUUCUCAAGCUAUUUAGCCAGGAGUUGGAAGCAAAAAUGUUGAAUAAUUUAAAUUUUUCAAAUACUUUUUGUGGAUUUUCUUCGGCUUUUGGCCUGUGAAAACAAAAUUUAAAAAGAGGACAGAACAUAAUUUUUGGAAAAUUUUCAAUUUUUCUCGAGCGAAGUGAGGGUAAAAGAGUCAGACAACGUUUAUCAGUGGUAAUUGUCGUUCUAAAAUUAUUUCAUUGGCUGACAUUGGCUGAACCAACAUCAUUCGUUGUUCUAAAAUGCAUCAGCACAAUUUAUUACAUAAAAAUUGCUGUCAGCCUUUUACCAAUGACCACAAGCGUGCCAAUGUAUUAUGAUUGGAUAAGAAGGAGGCUUUGUAAUAAUAGAAUGAUAAUAAAAUUUUGAUCUCAGCACGUUCAUUUUAUUAAUUGUUUGUAGUAUUUUUAUAUUUAUUUGUACUUUUUUUUUCUUGUUUAAUUUAAAUGAAGAAUUACUGAAUUAGCUAUGGAUCCUCAGUAAGUGUUAACGAAUGAAUGAAUAAAUAAAUGAAAUGACAAAGUAGUACCUUGGGCUUAUUUAUUCAUUUUAAAAUUUUUAAAUUAAUUUAAUAGCGGCAAGUUUGAACUUUUCAGACAUUUUGAAAAAUUUACAAAAUGAUUUAUUUUGGAAUAUUUAAUAUUAUUUUUUUUUGAAGAAUGGCCAAAGAAACUAAAACUUAGUCAUCAUAAGUCACCUAACUUCAAAAUUGAAGGGGCAACUCCGUUUCAGAAAUUAUAAAUUUUAAUGUAAUAUAUUCCUUCCUUUUAGCGCUUCUGAUUUCAUCCGUAUAGCUUUGGCUACUGCUGCAGCUGUACUAAUUGAUAGUUCCAGUUCAUCGGAGUCUUCCAGUGAUGAUGAUGAUCACAGCUUUCGAGGCAGCGCACAGAACGCAAAGAAAAAGCUCUAGGAAUAAGCAGGAGCGGUAUUUGAAAAAAAUUCGGAAAAUGACGAAUGAUCAGUUUAGAAGUAAUUUUCGAAUGUCAAGGAGCAUCUUUGAUGCCUUAUUGAAAAUUAUUAAGCCUAAGAUCGUGAAUUUGGGUUGUGGCUGGAAAACCAUCAGUGCCGAAGGUCAAUUAUUGUCAGUUUUGUGGCUGUUGAGCACACCGGACAGUUACAGGUUAUAAAUUAAAAUUAAUACGUUCUGUUCUUUUGUGGGUUCUCUCAUCAUCAUCAACAGAAUCACAAAACACAGUAUACAGAUUUUUAGAAUGAUAGUGGUUUCAAAUUUUUCAAUGCAUCUGUCAAACCUACCAUCUACACUGUUUUUUCUUUUUUUUUGGAAAAAAUGAGGUGUUAUUUAAAAAAAAUUUUACAGAGCAUCCAGGGAGUGGUGGUAGAAACUUUACAUUUAGAUAAAUAGGUGUACCAGAGUAGGACUUUAAAAAAGUGUUAAAUGGGCAAGUUUCCAAUUUUUAAAGUUUUUGGGGUAGCUGAGCUUUGAAAAAAAGUUGAGAAAAACGUAUUUUUUUAACAUGGGAAUGAAUAUUACCUUACGUUGUAAGAUAAUCAAAUGUUGUCAUUAUGAAUUUUUUUGGGCUAAAAAUAAAGACAUUUUACUCGAUUUUUCUGAAAAUAAAAAAAAGUCGUAGCAGUCUGCCGCUACGUAAGAGCCAAAUUUUUGUGCCAGAAACAUUGAGGGCUCUUGAACUACUCGCACCCUCGCUUCGCUCCUGUGCUUCGCUUGUAUUUGGGGGGACUUUGUCCCCCCUACACCCCCCUUGGGCUUCGCCCACCUACCUCCUGUGCAUGCUUUUUUUCAUGUUCUGCACUUCUCUUGAACUACUCGCACCCUCGCUUCGCUCCUGUGCUUCGCCUGCAUGUGGGGGGACAUUGUCCCCCCUGAACCCCCCUUGGGCUUCGCCCAACUCUCUCCUUCUGCUGCUUCCUUCUUAUAUUCGCGGGGGGACCCCUGCACCCCCCUUGGGCUUCGCCCAACUCUCUCAUUCCGCUGUUUCCUUCUCAUUUGCCCAACUCUCUCCUUCCACUGUUUCCUUCUUAUAUUCGCGGGGGGAUGUUGUCCCCCUGCACCCCCCUUGGGCUUCGCCCAACUCUCUCCUUCCGUUGUUUCCUUCUUGUAUUCGCGGGGGGACAUUGUCCCCCCUGCACCCCCCUUGGGCUUCGCCCAACUAUCUUCUUCCUCCUUUGGCAAAUGUGGUAACAAACCUGUCUUGACCUUGAUUUAGGUAAAAUGAGGUUGGAAGGCUGAAACCGGCCAAAGGCACAUCGGGUACAUCCUCUCAAUGUACUGUGAAAAUUUGGACCCUCUAAGUCAAUUUGUAGGGCCUGUAAGCUUGGCUAAACGUCAAAAAACACAUUUGACCCUGGAAAGGGGUCAAAUAGGGUUGGAAGGUUGAAACUAGCAAAAGGCACUUCGGGUACAUCCACCCAUUGUACUGUGAAAAUUUAGACCCUCUAGGUCAAUUUGGAGGAGCUGUAGGCUUGGCUAAACGUCAAAAUUUUCAAAAAACACAUAAAAUAGAUGAAAAAAUCCACUUUUUUGACCCUGGAGAGGGGUCAAAUGUGAUUGGAAGGUUCAAACAUGCAAAAGGCACUUCGGGUACAUCCUCCCAAUGUACUGUGAAAAUUUGGACCCUCUACGUCAAUUUGGAGGGGCUGUAGGUUUGGCUAAACGUCAAAAAACACGUAAAAAUACGCUUUUUUGACCCCGGAGUAGGGUCAAAUGGGGUUGGAAGGUUGAAUUCUGAAAAAAACACUCAAGGGGCACCCUCUCAUUGUAUGCUGAAAAUUUGGUCCCCCUAGGUCAAUUUUAGGGGUGAGGGGGUCAAAAACUAAGGUCAAAUGUGGUUUUUCCCACCUUAAUCAGGAUGGAGAUGACGUAGGAAGCUGCAAUUUGGAUAUGUUGAUCACAAUGAGGAUAUUGACCAAUGGUAUGAUUUUGGACCCUUCUCAUUUAUUUGGGGUCAUAUUGUGCCCCUCCAAAAAAAUGACCUUUCUGUAAAAAUGGGGUUGGAAGGUUGAAACAUGCAAAAGGCACUUCGGGUACAUCAUCCCAUUGUACUGUGAAAAUUUGGACCCUCUCGGUUAAUUUGGAGGGGACCUACCUACCAAUAAUAUCGAUCUAAAAUAAAUUUUGAUUUCUU